UUCGUAGGGGGCGAGCGUUGUCCGGAAUCAUUGGGCGUAAAGAGCGUGUAGGCGGCUAAGUCAGUCUGGUGUGAAAACUUGAGGCUCAACCUCAAGCUGUCAUCGGAUACUGCUUGGCUAGAGUCCGGAAGAGGAGAGUGGAAUUCCUGGUGGAGCGGUGGAAUGCGCAGAUAUCAGGAGGAACGCCGAUGGCGAAGGCAGCUCUCUGGUACGGUACUGACGCUGAGGCGCGAAAGCAUGGGGAGCGAACAGG
rnacentral:rRNA from 1 species